rnacentral:rRNA from 1 species
AUUGAACGCUGGCGGCAUGCCUUACACAUGCAAGUCGAACGGUAACAGGUCUUCGGAUGCUGACGAGUGGCGAACGGGUGAGUAAUACAUCGGAACGUGCCCGAGAGUGGGGGAUAACGAGGCGAAAGCUUUGCUAAUACCGCAUACGAUCUCAGGAUGAAAGCAGGGGACCGCAAGGCCUUGCGCUCACGGAGCGGCCGAUGGCAGAUUAGGUAGUUGGUGGGAUAAAAGCUUACCAAGCCGACGAUCUGUAGCUGGUCUGAGAGGACGACCAGCCACACGGGGAGUGAGACACGGCCCAGACUCCUACGGGAGGCAGCAGUGGGGAAUUUUGGACAAUGGGCGCAAGCCUGUUCCAGCCAUGCCGCGUGCAGGAUGAAGGCCUUCGGGUUGUAAACUGCUUUUGUACGGAACGAAAAGACUCCUUCUAAUAAAGGGGGUUCAUGACGGUACCGUAAGAAUAAGCACCAGCUAACUACGUGCCAGCCGCCGCCGUAAGAC